UACGUAGGGUGCGAGCGUUAAUCGGAAUUACUGGGCGUAAAGCGCGCGUAGGCGGUUUUGUAAGUCGGGGUGUGAAAUCCCCAAGCUUAACUUGGGAACUGCAUUCGAGACUGCAUAGCUAGAGUAUGGGAGAGGGAAGUGGAAUUUCAGGUGUAGCGGUGAAAUGCGUAGAUAUCUGAAGGAACAUCAGUGGCGAAAGCGACUUCCUGGACCAAUACUGACGCUCAUGUGCGAAAGCGUGGGGGAGCAAACAGG
rnacentral:rRNA from 1 species